GACGAACGCUGGCGGCGUGCCUAAUACAUGCAAGUCGAGCGCUCAAGGUUGGUACUUGUUCCAAUUGGAUGAGCAGCGAACGGGUGAGUAACGCGUGGGUAAUCUGCCUUUGAGCGGGGGACAACAUCUGGAAACGAAUGCUAAUACCGCAUAAAAUCUUUAAACACAAGUUUUAAGUUUGAAAGACGCAAUUGCAUCACCUAAUGAUGAUCUCGCGUUGGAUUAGCUAGUUGGUGAGGUAAAGGCUCACCCAGGCGAUGAUACAUAGCCGACCUGAGAGGGGUGAUGGCCAACUUGGGAAUGGAGAACGGGCCCAACCUCCUCGGGGAGGCACCGUAGGGGAAUGUUGGGAAAGGAGCGAAGUCCUGCCGGAGCAAGGCGGCUUGAGUGAUGAGGGUCUCCGGUCCGUAAACUCUGUUUAUUAGGAAAGACGAUGUGUGGAGUGAAAAGCUCAUAUAGUGACGGUAACUACCCAGAAAGGGACGGCUAACUACGUG
rnacentral:rRNA from 1 species